rnacentral:rRNA from 1 species
UAGUUAAUUUUUAAAAGUAAUUUUUGCCCUAUGAUUAUUUAAAUGGCUGCAGUAUAUUGACUGUGCAAAGGUAGCAUAAUAAUUAGUCUUUUAAUUGAAGGCUUGUAUGAAUGAAUUAAUGAGAUAUUUAUUUUAUUAUUUUUAUAUUUUGAAUUUAAUAUUUAAGUAAGAAAGCUUAAGUUUAUUUUUGGGACGAGAAGACCCUAUAGAAUUUUAUUUAUAUAUAAUUAAUUAUGUUUUAGGUUAUUAAUUUUUAAUUUUUUAUUUUAUUUAUUUUGUUGGGGUGAUAAAUAAAUUAGACUUUAUUUGUUAAUAUCAUUAAUUUAUGUUUUAUUGAUCCUUUAUUUAAUGAUUAUAAGAUUUAAUUACCUUAGGGAUAACAGCGUAAUUUUUAUGGGGAGUUCAUAUUUAUAUAGAAGUUUGCGACCUCGAUGUUGAAUUAAGAUUAAAUUAUGGGGCAG